rnacentral:rRNA from 1 species
UACGUAGGCAGCAAGCGUUGUUCGGAAUUACUGGGCGUAAAGAGUGUGUAGGUGGUGUCGUAAGUUUGGUGUGAAAUCUCCCGGCUUAACUGGGAGGGUGCGCCGAAGACUGCGAUGCUGGAGUACGGCAGAGGAGAGUGGAAUUCCUGGUGUAGCGGUGAAAUGCGUAGAUAUCAGGAGGAACACCGGCGGCGAAGGCGGCUCUCUGGACCGAUGCUGACGCUGAGACGCGAAAGCGUGGGGAGCAAACAGG